AGGAUUUUUAGCAGCUGCGUGAUAUUUCUUCUAUGUUCUUAUCUCUUCUCUCUUCUCAGCCUCAUCCGUCGCCAGAUUUUUCUUACGAGCGCUCGACUUUCUCUCCCUGAGCUCCCCAGCCGCGCUCGGAUUUAUCUGCUGCCGUUUCUUCAUGUCUGCAGCUGGAAUUUUUACCAUCGUUAUCCUCUCAGUUCUUCUUCUCCCUUAUCUCUCCCGGUCGGCCAAGCGCUUGUGGGAUUUUUCUCGCUGCCCAGCUUGCUCCAGCUCGGUGCCAAGCCGCCGGAAAAAUCCUGCCGCCCAGCCGCCGUUCGGUGGUAUUUAUUCCCCAGCCCGUCGUGUUCUUCGCUGUCCCCAUGCCGCAACUCCACCGUGGGGCUGCUCCUGCCGCGCCCUUGUUCCAGCUCCUAUGGUGGCGCUCGAUCUCCAGUCGUGCCGUGAUUUCUUGCUCAGACUGCGCCCAGCUCUGCCCAGCGCCGCGGUUGCCGAGCUCGCCCUGGGUCGCGCCCCCUUCCCCCUGUUGCAGCUCGCGCCCUGCUCUUCUACUCGUUUCUUCUCGCGUGGAGCUCCCUCUGCUCAGUCCUGACCUCUGCUCGCGUCCAGCCAUGGCGCGCUGGCUCCCUGCCGCGCCCAGCUCUAGCACUCGGUGCCCCUCCCAUGGUGUCCUAGCCGAACUCGCCCAGCCGAAGCCGCCCAGCUGGUUUCCUGCGCGCGGUACUCUCUCCGGCGUCCAGUUUUCUCCGCGCCGAAGCUCCCUCCGCGCGCUGCCCAGCACCAGUUCCUCUGUGGCCGCGCGCACAAAUCCCUGCUCGCCGGCGUGCUCUGGAUUCAGCCAUGGAGCAUCCCCUGCGUCCCUCUCUAUUCGCUGACCGAGCUCCAUCUCCUUGCUGACCAUGGCGCCCUGCUCUGCUCGCUAAUGGAGUUAGACCCGUGUCAUCAUCAUUCUUACCAUGGGUGUCGACAUCAAUCGUCUCGACAACCACCACAUCCACGACUCCACCGUUCCAAUAAUUUUGCCGCAUCGCCUUUUAAAUCCGAGUCCCCGUCCGUAGGAUCGUCGUUGACCUCACAACUUCAGCUCGAGUUAAUUAUGGACGAUAAAUAAUCGUGUGAUGCGGAAGACGACCCAAGUCGACUCCAAGCGUGGGCUAAUCCGCAGGAUGAAGCUGAUGGACCAACCUGAAGAUGGUUAAAUCAAGCAAGUGCUCAGUCGAGUGAUACUCGUCAAGUGAACAUCGCCUAACAAACACUAACCUAGUGUUAUCCAGG